AAUGAAAUACUAUAAUAAACCUAAUAAUAUGCUAAUAUAGCCAACAAUUAAAACAACACUCAAUAUGUGAUAAGACACAUUAUAAAAUAUUAUGGUAAAUUAAUAUACAUGUUGGUGCCAUAUUCAAUUUAACAAGCCAUAAUAGGCACAAGCCAUAAUCUACCCACACCCAAAACAGAAUAGUGGUGCAGGGGGUGCUGGAGGCGAAAUGCAAAACUGGAGAAAGUCUCAGUGCACCUUCAGUCAGAUGCAAAUGUAUUUUAUUUACCAACUGUUGAAAAGUGUCUGAGAAGCUUUUUCAUGAAUAUCUGGAAGUAAAUCUAAGUGGUCCGUCAGUUCCAUAAAUUCCAUCUCCAGACAGUGGCAUAUAUAUGAUAAUAUUCACCCAUUGAAUUACUGCCCUGAUUUAUCAGCAUGAUUCUGUGUCCCAAAUGGUAUCUUAGGUGGGGUCCAGUAGGGGCUGGUGGAGGCCUGUAGGGGCUUGUUGGUGCUGGUGGAGUGUGGUAGGGGUCUAUGGGGGCCUGUAGGGGCCAAAACCAGACUUCACUGACUGAUAGCAGUAAAGAACCCACUACCAUAGUGUAGAGAAAACAUCUCAGAGGAAAUUAAACAAAAUAUGUUGUGGAGAGUGGACUCGUGCUGCUGGGCACGUUGUGGUGAGGGACAGAGCAGUGCAGACCGAUGAGGGAGGCUAAGAAAACAUGCCUCUUUAUUUACUGCUGUUGUUUUCAGAGUAGAGCUCGCUGUCAAUCCCGUUCUCUUGGGCCUCUCUCUAAGAGGUCUGGUCCAGUAUGCUACUGUAUUAGUUACCUCUUAUAACCCACAAUAAACCAAAAAGCACUUAAAUUCCAUAUACAUGCAUUGGCUUGGGACAGUUGUGAAGGCAUGCACUAAACCAAAUGAUACAGAUCUUCCUUAGAAAGUAUGUAGAGCACCUGAAUUGUGAAUGAGUUUGUACUUAUCCGUAGUGUUUUUAAAAAAAAUCAAAUUGAAUGCUAUUUGGUGGAAACCAGUUCAAAGUAGAGUGACCCAAAGAUGAAAAAUGACUGUAGCUGGUACUGUACAUUGAGAAAGUUUGAUCAUAAAGUUACUUAUACCCUCCCCCCCGUGUCAAAGACUUGGAUUUAGGAGGCAAGCAUUGUCAAGGAUUUACUUCCGGCUUUAUGCAACAUCACAUAAAGACGGAAAUUGAAUACGGCAAUGGUAGCAUCUUAUCUGAACUCAUUUAAAUAUGUACCACCUUAAAACCAUCAUCUCUUGUGCCCCUACCCCUUGCUUUGGCUUUGUUUACAAACCUUAAGCUAGCUACUAGUAGCUAGCUCAAGCAGAAGGUACGACCAAAGAUACUGCUAACCUUUCAUCUGUGGUAUUACUGUUAGCUACAGUAGCAAGCUACUUAUCAACAUGCCGGCAAAAGCACACUGUGUCGUAACUAGUGUAAAAUGAACCUUACAUAGUGUAACAUUAACCUUAAACUAUUUCCCAAAGAGUGAAGACAUCCAACAGCAGUGGUUGCUUUUCAUUUCUUAGCUAGUUUACGGUGGACGAGAUGACUGAAAAUUACGUCAUGGCACGCGUGUGCAGUGCACAUUUCAAGUGAAGUUGCUUUAUCAAUUUGGGGAGAACAUUCGAUGGGUCUUGCCAGGAAGCUAAUCCUGAAGACGGAUGCAUCAUUGACAGUGGAUCUGGCAAGCACGGACCAUAAUCUUCCCAGGCAACUGCAGCAGGAAGGAUGUGAUACAAAAUAAUCUUUCCCAAGGCAAAGAAGGGGGGAAAGGCUGUGAAGCCUGUGAAGACAGACCCAAUAUACUGCUAUGUUGACAGGCUCCUGGAUCUCCUCUUCAACGAGAUCACCCUUGAUAAAAACACAACAAAACACUCUCGCCUACGGCCGGUUGUGAUACAGCCCGGGAUCGAACCAGGGUCUGUAAUGAUGCCUCUAGCACUGCAAACCACUGCGCCACUCGGAAUUUGCUUUAUUUAGUGUUUUUAUUCAAGCAUUCAGACAGGAGAUGAGUGUUACAAAUUGUAUAAAUAAAUGGGUCCUGGGACACUAUUGCGGCCGGGUGACAAUAUUAGGCUUAUGGCUGAAGUUUUGUAUUUUUAUGUCAAAUUAUUUCUCACCUUUAUUUCUCAUGAUUGUUCAUGUUGCUCAAUAUUUUGGCCAUGCUGGCCUAUCGUAAAAUAUUGAAAUAAAUGUCUGAUCAAUAUACUCAAUUA